GCAGGCAGCACGGGGCCCCCUUUGUGCUGGCGGACCCCUUGGUCCUCCCCCUCCCCAUGUUGGGCGCCUUUGACCAGAUUUAACACUAUGCUUAAAAUGGUUCUCGGGCAUUGCUGGUUCUUGCAGAGGCCUGUGAGGGUGAUAAACAGAGGAUUCGUUUGCCUCUGAACAUGUGCAGAACACCUGCCCUUCCUCUCAACUUUCGCACCUUUCAAGAAAGGACCUUGUGGCCAAAGUGUGUAAUUCUGAAAAGGUACAUGCGAAAACCCAUCUCCCCUUAGAAGUCCAUAAUGCUGGGAAAAGUUGAAGGAAAGAGAAGAAGAGGACAACCAGCAGCAAGGUGGAUGGACUCGAUUACGACAACAAUGAAUGCCCCACGGAGAGACCUUAAAGGCCAAGUGGAAGACAGAUCAUCCUGGAGAGAAUCUAUCGAUGUGGUCACUAAGAGAACACCGACUUGCUGGCACUUAAUCAAUCAAUCAAUCAAUCACAAAGAAAACAAACAACAAACAACAAUGUACAACUCAGCCCAGAAACCAAUAAAACAUGUCACUGUUUCGGAUUAUUAUUUCACUUUACCCCUCUGUACUUUUUUCACAUUUAAAUAAUACAAUUAUAUAAUAAAAAUAGUUUUCAACCUUC